UUUCAGAAAAAGGGACCCUGCCAUCACAAACAUUCUUAGAUGGCUUGAUGCUCAUGAUUCCAACCAGAAUAAGCGAACAACAGUCCUGCUUGGCAUGCCCCACUGUCUUCGUCAAGAUACUUCCAGCAUUCUAAAGACCUGUGAGCCAACUGGUCCAGUUGAAGAUGUCUUAAAAGAAACCAGUGUGGGGAUCCUGAUCGUGUAUGAGGACUGCAGCAAAUGCGUGGUUCUACA